rnacentral:rRNA from 1 species
GAUGAACGCUGGCGGCGUGCCUAAUACAUGCAAGUCGAGCGAACAGACGAGGAGCUUGCUCCUUUGACGUUAGCGGCGGACGGGUGAGUAACACGUGGAUAACCUACCUAUAAGACUGGGAUAACUUCGGGAAACCGGAGCUAAUACCGGAUAAUAUAUUGAACCGCAUGGUUCAAUAGUGAAAGACGGCUUUGCUGUCACUUAUAGAUGGUUCCGCGCCGCAUUAGCUAGUUGGUAAGGUAACGGCUUAUCAAGGCGACGAUGCGUAGCCGACCUGAGAGGGUGAUCGGCCACACUGGAACUGAGACACGGUCCAGACUCCUACGGGAGGCAGCAGUAGGGAAUCUUCCGCAAUGGGCGAAAGCCUGACGGAGCAACGCCGCGUGAGUGAUGAAGGUCUUCGGAUCGUAAAACUCUGUUAUUGGGGAAGAACAAAUGUGUAAGUAACUAUGCACGUCUUGACGGUACCUAAUCAAAAAGCAACGGCUAACUACGUG